rnacentral:rRNA from 1 species
AUGCUCUGCUGUGUUCCUUUUUGCUUUUUUUUGGGCUUCUCAUUCUUCUUUGGCACCUGCGCUCUGCUUGGGGAAACUUUGUACAUGGCAAUACAUAGACUGGAAUUGAGAUUUGGAGCAAUUUUGUUCGUUUUCCUUUGUACUGAUGUUGCCAUUAUUUGUGUGAUGGAGCCGUUAUAUUGUACAAAGGGAAGAGAUAGUGAGAGAGAUUGGAUAGAAAUUACUAACUACUGUAUUUGUGUUGUAAUUGUUUGUUGUCAAAGCUUAUUGUUUAUUGGUUGUUGUUGCAGAUUGUUGUGA